AGAAGCAGGCGAAGAUGGUUGCUCCGUUGUUUGAUGACAUCGGGGAGGAAAGUCCGAGCUCCAAAGGAUAAUGCAUCCCGGUAAUGCGGGACCUCUUGCCGCAGGGAUGCGGCAGGGGAGGAUCAGAGCAACAGUGACGAUGUCUCUUCAGUGAUCAGUGGUCAGUGCUCAGUGUUCAGUAACAGACCUAUGUGUUUGAAUUCUGACUGCUGACCACUGAGCACUGUAAGAGAAGUGAAACGGGCAAUCUCUGCAUGGAGCAAGGCCAAAUAGGAGGAGAUUCCUGUUUUUACAGGAAGCGAAGUGAUCCGCUUCGCCAUGAUUCUCGGGUUGGCUGCAAGAGUUCGAUGCGCAAGCGUCGAAGUCAGUCGAAUAACCAUCGCCCAUGUAUUUUCAUAGGGAGACAGAACUCGGCUUACAGCCUGCUUCUUUCA
rnacentral:RNase_P_RNA from 2 species